rnacentral:rRNA from 1 species
UACGUAGGGGGCAAGCGUUAUCCGGAUUUACUGGGUGUAAAGGGAGCGUAGACGGUUAUGUAAGUCUGAAGUGAAAGCCCGGGGCCCAACCCCGGGACUGCUUUGGAAACUGUGUAACUAGAGUACAGGAGGGGCAGGCGGAAUCCCUGGUGUAGCGGUGAAAUGCGUAGAUAUCAGGAGGAACACCGGCGGCGAAGGCGGCCUGCUGGACUGAAACUGACGUUGAGGCUCGAAAGCGUGGGGAGCAAACAGG